rnacentral:rRNA from 1 species
AGAGUUUGAUCCUGGCUCAGAACGAACGCUGGCGGCAGGCCUAACACAUGCAAGUCGAGCGCCCGCCAGGGAGCGGCAGACGGGUGAGUAACGCGUGGGAACCUACCUAGUGGUGCGGAACAACCAAGGGACACUUUGGCUAAUGCCGCAUGAGCCCCAACGGGGAAAGAUUUAUCGCCAUUAGAUGGGUCCGCGUCGGAUUAGCUAGUUGGUGGGGUAAAGGCCUACCAAGGCGACGAUCCUUAGCUGGUCUGAGAGGAUGAUCAGCCACACUGGGACUGAGACACGGCCCAGACUCCUACGGGAGGGAGCAGGGGGGAAGAUUGGACAAUGGGCGAAAGCCUGAUCCAGCAAUGCCGCGUGGGUGACGGAGGCCUUCGGGUCGUAAAGCCCUUUUGCAGGUGAAGAGGAAGGACGGUAGCCUGCGAAGAAGUGUCGGCUAACUACGUGCCAGCAGCCGCGGUAAUAC